rnacentral:rRNA from 1 species
CUAACACAUGCAAGUCGAACGGCAGCACAGUAAGAUCUUGCUCUUAUGGGUGGCGAGUGGCGGACGGGUGAGGAAUACAUCGGAAUCUACCUUUUCGUGGGGGAUAACGUAGGGAAACUUACGCUAAUACCGCAUACGACCUUCGGGUGAAAGCAGGGGACCUUCGGGCCUUGCGCGGAUAGAUGAGCCGAUGUCGGAUUAGCUAGUUGGCGGGGUAAAGGCCCACCAAGGCGACGAUCCGUAGCUGGUCUGAGAGGAUGAUCAGACACACUGGAACUGAGACACGGUCCAGACUCCUACGGGAGGCAGCAGUGGGGAAUAUUGGACAAUGGGCGCAAGCCUGAUCCAGCCAUACCGCGUGGGUGAAGAAGGCCUUCGGGUUGUAAAGCCCUUUUGUUGGGAAAGAAAAGAAGUCGAUUAAUACUCGGUUGUUCUGACGGUACCCAAAGAAUAAGCACCGUCUAACUUCGUGCCAGCAGCCGCGGUAAUACUAAGGGUGCAAGCGUUACUCGGAAUUACUGGGCUUAAAGCGUGCGUAGGUGGUUGUUUAAGUCUGUUGUGAAAGCCCUGGGCUCAACCUGGGAAUUGCAGGGGAUUCUGUACG